rnacentral:lncRNA from 1 species
CGGAUAUUCUAUGAUUCUAUGAUUCUAUGACUUUGAAGUACAGAUACCUUAGAACUUGAUAUUCAUGCAGUUUCCUGGGGUGACAGAAAUGCUGAAACAUCUGGACCCUUGAACAGUGCUACUGACAAGGGCAUUUUCAAAAGCCAAAUCUGUGUAGCUGGGAUAUAUGCUAGAGGGUGGAAUGAUCUUCAGAGUCACCAUAACUGCAAAAAUCAGAAUUAAUUCAUGGACCACCUUGUCAAUCCUCAGAAGUGCUAGGUAAAAAUCUCUAAUUAAUGAUCUUUCUGUCACUGCACAGCAGACAGAAAAAUAUUGGACUAAUCCUAGUAUGAUGUCUUAAUACCAGUUGUCACUGAUGGAGGCUGGAGCUGUUGGAGUACCUGGUCCACCUGCAUCAAUGGUGAAAGCACUCGAACUCGCCAGUGUAAUAAUCCUACACCACAAGAUGGAGGCAGACCAUGCCAAGGAGAAGCCAUUGAAAAACGUCCCUGUUGAGAAGAAAAUGUUCCAAAUCAGAAAUGAUUAUUGGAUUCCAAACCAGUUCUACAAAUCACAGUUUCCAAUAGAUAGCUUGCUACCCAAGAGCAACAGAACACCGUGAAUUAAAAGCACCUGCACCUUAAAUGAUUGCUUAGCAAAACAAAGUAAUAUACCAAUAAAUAUCUUAAUGGAGAAGAGCUGAUGCAGUGGGUGUUGUCCUUUUUUUUUUUUUUUUGUGUCUUCUGCUGUUAUUAGAACAUGAAUCAUCUAUCAUCUAUGUUUGUUAGUUGGUAGCAUAAUAGUCCCCCUUUUUAUUAUUUUCAACAAUUAUUUGGGGUGAAUUCUUUGGGGUGAAUGUUUUCAAACUGAUUUUCAAGAAUUCAAACCCAGCGUGAAUAUCAGAAUAAUGUAUAUAACGUCAUCCAUUUGAUGGUAUACUGUCAGUAAAUAACCUGAGAGAGACUGAGGUAGAAGAGUUGGUAUAAUGCCACCUAUAUUUUUAGCAAAACUCCCGAAAGAGACAAGAGUGAGGCAAUUGUACUACCUAUCAGUAUC